rnacentral:rRNA from 1 species
GUGAGGAAUAUUGCGCAAUGGAGGCAACUCUGACGCAGCCAUGCCGCGUGCAGGAAGACGGCCCUACGGGUUGUAAACUGCUUUUAUCCGGGAAGAAACCCCUCGACGUGUCGAGGGUUGACGGUACCGGAGGAAUAAGCACCGGCUAACUUCGUGCCAGCAGCCGCGGUAAUACGAAGGGUGCAAGCGUUAUCCGGAUUCAUUGGGUUUAAAGGGUGCGUAGGCGGGGCGUUAAGUCAGUGGUGAAAUCCUGCAGCUUAACUGUAGAAUUGCCAUUGAUACUGGCGCUCUUGAGUACGCUUGGCGUGGGCGGAAUGUGCCGUGUAGCGGUGAAAUGCUUAGAUAUGGCACAGAACACCGAUCGCGAAGGCAGCUCACGAAGGCGAAACUGACGCUGAGGCACGAAAGCGUGGGGAUCGAACAGGAUUAGAAACCCUAGUAGUCC